GGAGAGAUGUCCGAGUGGUUUAAGGAGCACGCUUGGAAAGCGUGUAGGGUCGCAAGGCUCUCGCAGGUUCGAAUCCUGUUCUCUCCGCCA
rnacentral:tRNA from 1 species